rnacentral:lncRNA from 1 species
AUUCAGCCCUAAAUGCUGCCAUGGGGUCGGAGCCCAUGGUCCUCAAGACCCGCCCGCCUACAUGCUGCCCUUAGGGGCUGGAGCUGUGGGGCACUGAAACAGCCAGUCACAGCCCCAUCACAUGCCCGGCAAGGGGCUAGGACUUCCAGUACCAUGCUGAACAAUGACGGGAAAAGUAGGUAUCCUUGUUGUGUCCCAGAAGUUAGAGGUAAGGCUUUCAUUUUUUUCUCAUUCAGUAUGAUACUAGCUAUGAGUCUGUUUCAUAUGGCUUAUGUUAUGUUGAGGUAUGUUCCUUCUAUACCAAUAUUUUUAAAGGUUUUUAUCAUGAAAGAAUGUUGAUUUAUCAAAUGCUUUUUUAAGAUCGAUUGAAAAGAGCAUAUGGUUUUGUCCUUCAUUUUGUCAUUAUGUUGUACUACAUUGAUUGAUUUGCAUAUGUUGAACAACAUUUGCAUCUCUGGAAUAAAUCACACCUGAUCAUAAUGAAUAAUCCUUUUAAUGUAUUGCCAACUUUGGCUUGCUAGUAUUUUAUUGAGGAAUUUUUCAUGAAUAUUCAUUAGUGAUAUUGGCCUAUAGUUUUGUUUUUUUCGAUGUGUCUUUGUCUGGUUUUGGUAUCAGGGUAAUACUGGUCUCUUAGAAUGAGUUUGAAAGUAUUCCUUCUUCCUCUAUUUUUUGGAGUAGUUUGAGUAGGAUUGGUAUUAGUUUUUCUUUACGUGUUUGGUAGAAUUCAGCAGUGAAGCCACCAGGUCCCUGGCUUUACUUUACUGGGAAACUUUUUAUUACAGCUUCGAAUUCGUUACUUGUUUGUCUUUUCAGGUUUUGGAUUUUUUCGUGGUUCAAUGUUGGUAUGUUAUAAGUGUCUAGG